rnacentral:lncRNA from 1 species
GCCUUGGACCUUGGUCAAAGUUCCAACAAAUCUCUUAUUUGCCUUAGUUUAUGCAAACACCCUCUUAGACACAUUCAAACCAUGCUUUUGGAAAAGCUUUUGUGAAUACGUAAGCAACUUUGGUCGUUUUAAUUGUGCAGUAAAUCAACUUUAAUAUCUCUAUCCUUUCAGGGAUGUUAUGAUGGAAUACUCAAAGCAAGUGAUGAUUUUGGGUGAAUUUCUCUUUGAGCUUUUGUCAGAAGCUCUAGGGCUGAACCCUAAUCACCUCAAGGACAUGGAUUGCCUAAAGGGUUUGCGCAUGCUUUGCCAUUACUUCCCACCGUGUCCAGAGCCUGACCUAACUUUUGGCACAAGUCCGCACUCCGACAGCUCUUUUCUUACCAUCCUCCUUCCAGAUCAGAUCAAAGGGCUUCAGGUUCUUCGUGAAGGGUACUGGUUCGAUGUUCCUCAUGUUCCAGGCGCUCUCAUCAUCAACAUCGGAGAUCUUUUACAGGCAUGUUUACCAAUGCUUUCUUUUCCUCAGUUUUGCAUUCUAUAGAUAAUCUUCCCUUUAACUCAAAGUUUCUUUUGGGGGUUUGUGAUUUUGAUGCAGCUUAUAACAAACGACAAAUUCAUCAGUUUGGGGCAUCGAGUAUUGGCGAACAGAGCCACAAGAGCUCGAGUCUCUGUCGCAUGUUUCUUCACCACCCAUGUAAAACCCAAUCCUAGAGUGUAUGGACCCAUUAAAGAGCUUGUGUCCGAAGAAAACCCUCCAAAGUACAGAGAGACCACCAUUACAAACUACGCUACUUACUUCAAUGGCAAAGGACUUGGCGGAACCUCUGCUUUGCUCCAUUUUAAAGUAUGAAACAUGGCGAGCUACUACUUUCUCAAACAUAUACGACAUGACAGUAUAUGUAACAUGUUGGAAUUAUGUGAACCAAAUGUGGAAUUUAUGGAUUAUACUACAUUGUCAUUUCAGUUUGGUCCAUAUAAGGUGCAAUCGGAUAUGGUUAAUCGAUUAGAUGUCAAUAUUGGAUAUGAACAAGUUGGUUAUAUGCAUAUACACUAGAUUGGAUGGGUUGAAUUAUUAGAUGACAAUAUUUAAGAUUGGUUAAAUAAUGGUUCACUGGUUGGUUAAGUAAUGGUCUCUAGAUAUGUUUGCAUGUUUUCAUGAUUUGGUGUUAGUUCACUGUAAUUCAUGGAUUUAAAGGUCUUGGGAUUUUUUCAAGCAUGCAUAAGAUUAGUUGACGUUUUUUGCUUUAUCAUAAAAUCAUAAGGUUUUUGAAUCAUAUAUCAUGCAUGUUUCUGGAUUAAAAAUCACAAGAAAGCAUGUUUUUUUUGAAAAUAAAUUUAGUCUUUAAAGACCAUUUGUUGAAAACAAUAAAAGUUCCGUACUUAAUUCAAUUUCAAGAUAGUUAGGCGUAGAAUACAAGAAAGAAAACAAUUUUUUUGAAAGACAAGUGUUGUUUUCUUGUCUGAACAAAACCAACCCAAAUAUAGAGAGACACCACCAUUACUCCAUUACAGAGAAUGCAAACUUCGUUUUAUAUAUAUAUAUAUACUGUAUCAUUUUGACUAAUAAAGUUGCGUGGGAGAUUGAUUCUCUUAAUUCUGUAAUAACUUGUUGUUGACUAAAAGACUUGUCUGGUCCGCUCACUGCCACAAGCGGUUGUUUUUGUCUAUAAACCUUAUCUCUUACCAAUGGUUUUGCUGUAGCAACCGGUCACAUCUUUGAACUUAAGAAAAAUGUUUCAUUCUUGUUUUUAUAGAUUUUUAUGUUAUGCCUGAUUGUAUCAUAUUGUUCUGUUCUUCGAGAAACUAAAACUAUGGAGACGACGAAGAUUGCUUCUUCAUUCGAUCGUGCCAGUGAGCUCAAAGCUUUUGAUGAGACAAAAACGGGUGUGAAAGGACUCGUCGACUCCGGAAUUUCACAGAUUCCACGCAUCUUCCAUCACUCAUCUGUCAAACUAGAGAACCCUAAGCCACUUUCCUCGGACUUGCUACAUCUCAAGACGAUCCCAACGAUCGAUCUUGGAGGACGGGUUUUCGAGGAUGCGAGUAAGCGCAAGAACGCGGUUGAAAGAAUUAAAGAAGCAUCAGAGAAGUGGGGUUUCUUCCAGGUAAUUAACCAUGGAGUUCCACUUGAUCUUCUUGAGAAGAUGAAAGAUGGAGUUCGUGGGUUUCACGAGCAAUCCCCUGAAGUGAGGAAAGAUUUCUACAGUCGCGAUUUAACUAGAAAGUUUCAGUAUUCAAGUAAUUUCGAUCUCUAUAGUUCUCCAGCUGCAAACUGGAGAGACACGGUUGCUUGUACCAUGGCUCCAGAUCCUCCGAAUCCACAAGAUAUUCCAGAGAUUUGUAGGUAUGACUCCAUUGCUUUAACUUUAUUUGAUGUGUAAUCUCUAUUCAUAUAUGGUGAAUUGUUUCAGGGAUGUCACGAUGGAAUAUUCAGAGCAAGUGAUGAAUUUGGGUGAAUUUCUCUUUACGCUUUUAUCAGAAGCUCUAGGGUUGAACCCUAAUCACCUCAAUGACAUGGAUUGCUCUAAGGGUUUGGUCAUGCUUUGCCAUUACUACCCACCAUGUCCAGAGCCUGACCUAACUUUAGGCACAAGUCAGCACGCCGACAAUACUUUUCUUACCGUUCUUCUUCCAGAUCAGAUCGAAGGGCUUCAGGUUCUUCGUGAAGGGUAUUGGUUCAAUGUUCCUCAUGUUCCCGGAGCUCUAAUCAUCAACAUUGGAGAUCUUCUACAGGCAAGUUUGCACAACCAAUACAUUUUUGCUCUGUUUUGCACAAGUAUAAAUCUUCCUCUUGGUUCAAAGAUUUUUUAUUGGGAUUUUGAUGCAGCUUGUAACAAACGACAAGUUCAUCAGUUUGGAGCACAGAGUAUUGGCGAACAGAGCCACAAGAGCUCGAGUCUCUGUAGCAGGUUUCUUCACCACCGCCAUGAGACCGAAUCCUACACUGUACGGACCCAUUAGAGAGCUUGUGUCUGAAGACAACCCUCCAAAGUACAGAGAGACCACUAUUAGAGACUACACUGUUCACUUCAGUGCCAAAGGACUUGACGGAACCUCUGCUUUGCUCCAUUUUAAAAUAUGAAACAUGGCCAGCUAGCUUCUACUUUAUCACACAUAUAUGACAUGAUAUAUAUAUGUAACAUGUUGGAUAUGUGUGAACCACAUGCAUGUGGAAUUUAUGAAAUAAAGAUUGUUAUUUCGGUUUAGUCCAAAUAAGGUGUGAUUGGUUAUGGUGGUUAAAAGAUAUGUUUCUUUGUAGCUAUGAUUAAACUAUUACAGAGUAUGCAAAGUUCUACAGAUCCAAAGGAUUCGAUGGUACCUCUGGAUUACUUUAUCUCAAGAUCUGAGAAUGCCAUAUACUGUAUCAUUUUGUCUAACAGAUGCGUGAGACUAAUUUGAUUUUUUUCUUUUCUGUAAUAACCUCUUGUUAAUUACUUAAGUCUGCUCCAGUCACUGUCACAAGCGGUUGUUUUUGUCAAGCAACCUUAUCUCUAAUCAAUGGUUUUGCUGUAUCAACUGGUCCAAUCUUUGAACUUAAGAAAAAAGUUUCUUUCUUGUUUUUAUGGAUUCUUAAGUUAUGUGGGAUUGUAUCAUAUUGUUCUGUUUUUCGAGAAACUAAAACUAUGGAGACGACGAAGAUUGCUUCUUCAUUCGAUCGUGCCGGUGAGCUUAAAGCUUUCGAUGAAACGAAAACGGGUGUGAAAGGACUCGUUGACGCAGGAGUUUCACAAAUUCCGCGCAUCUUUCAUCAUCCAUCUGUCAAAUUAUCAAACCAUAAACCACUUUCCUCAGACUUGGUACAUCUCAAGACGAUCCCAACGAUUGAUCUAGGAGGAAGGAUCGUUGAGGACACGAGCAAGCGCAAGAACGCGAUUGAAGGGAUUAAAGAAGCAGCAGAGAAGUGGGGUUUCUUCCAGGUGAUCAACCAUGGAGUUUCGCUUGAUCUUCUUGAGAAGAUGAAAGAUGGAGUUCGUGACUUUCACGAGCAAUCCCCUGAAGUGAGGAAAGAAUUCUAUAGUCGCGAUUUCAGCAGAAGGUUUCUGUAUUCAAGUAAUUUCGAUCUCUUCAGUUCUCCAGCUGCAAAUUGGAGAGACACUUUCUCUUGUACUAUGGCUCCAGAUACUCCAAAACCACAGGAUCUUCCGGAGAUUUGUAGGUAUGACUCCAUUGCCCUAACUUGAUUUCAUGUGUACUCUUUGUUCAUAUGGUGAAUCACUAAAUUGUUUCAGGGAUGUUAUGAUGGAAUACUCAAAGCAAGUGAUGAUUUUGGGUAAAUUUCUCUUUGAGCUUUUAUCAGAAGCUCUAGGGUUGGAACCUAAUCACCUCAAUAACAUAGAUUGCUCCAAGGGUUUGCUCAUGCUCUCCCAUUACUACCCACCGUGUCCAGAGCCUGACCUAACUUUUGGCACAAGUCAGCACUCUGACAACUCUUUCCUUACCGUCCUUCUCCCCGAUCAGAUCGAAGGGCUUCAGGU